GAGGGUAUUGCUCAGUGGUAGAGCGCAUACUUAGCAUGCACGAGGUCCUGGGUUCAAUCCCUAGUACCUCCA
rnacentral:tRNA from 1 species